UCAAAAUUCAACGACAAUGUCGAAAAAUUUAGUUCAAUUUUCUUGGAAGUAACAAUAUGAAUGAUUUUUUGAACAAGAAAUUCUGGCUUACUUCGCUUAUGGAAAAGUGGGAGGGUUUCAAGUUUGGUUUAAAAGUGGGUGGCGCCUUGACCACUAUUGUAUAUUUUCAAGACAUCUAGAGGAGAAAUGGCUAACUCCGUAGAAUUUUUAUGUAAGCUGUUUCAUUUCGCGUGCUUCGGACUGAGUAUGGAUGCAUAAACGAACGUCUCUCUCCUUGAAAUUUCACCACCGAUUCCGUGUGUUUUGAGCUGCUUGUUGGGAAUUCUAUGAAUGCAGAGUUGUUCAAGGAGAAGCAUGGCUUGGCUUUGCCACAGACUACGAAGUAAAGACUACGAUCGGGGAUAGGGCUGAGAGGAAUGAUCAAAGCUAUGCUCGUCCUAUGCCGUAUGGUGGCGCGUCGAACGAACUUUCUGAAAGCCAUUAUUUUUCGUCGUUUGCUUACUGAUUUGGGUCUUCACACACCGUAAACUUGUAAGUAAACCAUUAACCUUUCAAUGUUGUAUUUUUUUGUAGAUAUAGCUUAGAUAUUCCCCUUGUUGUGUGAAUUUUUUUAAAUUUCUAUCUGAUCUCUAGUCAUGAUCUAUAAAUUCCUUUAUUAAACCACCUUUUUCCCCCUUUUCCCCCUUUUUCCCCCACCCCCUCUAUCUUUCUUUUGAAAAAGGGGGUGUAAUAAAGGAAUUUAUAGAUCAUGACUAGAGAUCAGAUAGAAAUUUAAAAAAAUUCACACAACAAGGGGAAUAUCUAAGCUAUAUCUACAAAAAAAUACAACAUUGAAAGGUUAAUGGUUUACUUACAAGUUUACGGUGUGUGAAGACCCAAAUCAGUAAGCAAACGAGAAAAAAUAAUGGCUUUCAGAAAGUUCGUUCGACGCGCCACCAUACGGCAUAGGACGAGCAUAGCUUCAAGGGGUUUAUAGCCGUUCGUAGUCUUUACUUCGUAGUCUGUGGCUUUGCUAGCACGUUUUCCAUCUCCGUUAGUCUAAUACACCCAUUCUGUACCAAAAAGUAGUUUUUUAUAAUCUAUUUCCAUAUCUAAAUCUCUUAGAUUCUUGAAGGUCUUUGGGAUGUACCUGAUGUACUGUGGUGGCCGCAGAAUCAUUCAGUGACUUGGUCGAACACACCACCACACACAAAAAGCAAUCUAUUUCAAGGGUUUGCUUUCCAAUACAUACCCAACAAUAGCAAUGCUGAAUAGAUAACAACAUACCAGAAACAUUACAUUUAUGGACAAAAAAUCCUUUGAAACACAAAAUAUGAUACCAGUAUUUCUUCUGGCCAUCCUUUUCUGUUUGAAUUGGUGAAAUCGGUAAUAUUUCCAAUUUACUGGCUACAGAAGCUAAUGUAUUGUCUAUUUUACCUGAGAAAGUUUUAUCCAUCAAGAGGCUGGAGGACUGCAGAAAUGAAGAAUUCUUCUUACCCCCUGUGGCCUGUGCUAAAAUGAAGCACAACUGUAGUGUGUACUUCUUCAAAGAAGGAUAAACACUUAUUACCUGCAACAAUGUUGAUAAUGACAUUAUAAGAAAACUUCAAAAUCUAGUAUUGUCAGUUGAUUCGUAGGUUGAAAUUCCGCUCAGGCUUUACACAUUCUACAGUUAAAGUACUGACAGGUGACAUGUAAAGUUGAAUUUAUGUGUGGUGAUGACACAAACAUGUGGAGAUUCGCUGGCAAAAUGUUGGACCCUUCAUCGGAAACGAUUUUAUUAAAAACUUUCUGCUACCAGUGUGUUUUUGUUCCUCUUCCUGUAAAGGAAACACCAAACUUGAUGUUGCUCUUGUGAUGAUGAAUCUGGAUUAUUGGUAAGGUCUGCUUAUAGUUGCACUAAUCUUUGUGAUACCUCUUUACUAAGGGAAAUAUUGAAAUAUAAAAUGAUUAGUCAUUUAAGUUAUGAAAAUUCCUUCAUAAUAAACAAAUUUCAUAAAUCUGGAACAGUUUGUUGAAACUUUGAAGAAAUACUUCAUCCUAUCUUAUUUCUCUUAGAAUCUUUUCAUUGCUAGAGUAUUUUCCUCUUCUCAUUAAGGAAUAACCUAACUUAAUGUUGCCUUGUGAUGGAUUGGGAUUAUUGGUAAGUUCUGCUUUUAUUCUGACAAAUUCUUGUUAGACUGUUAUUAAAGGUUCUUUUCCACAUUUUGGUACUAAACUAAUUUGUCACAGCUAUUCCUUUCAUAUAUGUUAUCGUGGCGAAUGGUAAUGUUAAUGUUUGUCUGAGGUCGGAAAAUAGAAAGCGUCACCAACUAUCUGAUCGCUCUCAUCUUCGGUAAGGAGCUUUUAAAAACCUGUGCUGAUAAAUUUUUGGUGGAAAAUUUUACGUCGAAGACUGGUGAACUUGCUUGGUCCCACGGUUACGUCAAAAUCUGGGACACGUCCGUGUCAUUGACUGAAAGCGAGCGACUCAUCAUCUCAUCCAGUUGGCUUCUAGCCUGUUUGGAUUUCGACAAAAAGGAGUCACUGCUGGUGGAUAUCCCAUCAAUUCUGCAACAUUCCACAUGAUUCCUCGACUGCAUCUGAUUGUCAACGAUGUGGAUGAAAUCGUCAUUUCGCUAAACCAGCACACGGCUAGUCUAAAGAGAAAA